rnacentral:lncRNA from 1 species
CCCCCUCGGCGGCGCGGGCGGGAAACGGCGGGGGGCGCGCAGAGGGUCACCUUCCGCUCCCCGGCCCAGAGGCCCAGCGGGUGGACAAACGGCCCAGGCGUCCGCCCCGCCGCGAUCCAGCAGCCCACCUCGAGCGCCGCGGACCUGGCCGGGGAACUCAACUGUUAGGCAGAAGGGAGGAAUGUACUGUUGAUAUGGACAGACUCCAAGAAGGGGAGGGACUGCUGGGACUACUAGAACGAGAAUGCCUCUGCCCCUAUGGCUCAGCUCUGCAACUCUCUCUGCACAUUGGCUUCAUGCUGUUAGACCAGCUUCCUCCAUAUGUCUGGAAACAAGGCCACUGACAGCUCCCAACAUUUCAUCUUCUGCCUCAUCAUCAGACAGGCGAGUGCAGUGGCAUAAUCUCGGCUCACUGCAACCUUUGCCUCCUGGGUUCAAGCAAAAACUGGAAUGAUGCAGCUUCAGGCCAAGGAAUGCUGGCAGCCACCAGAAGCUGAAGGACACAAGGAAUGGAUUCUCAGAGCCUCGGCAGGAAAUGUGGCCCUGCCAACACCUUGAUUUCAGACUUCUCAACUCCAGUACUGGGAGGGAAUAAAUUUCUGUUGUUUUAAGCCUCCCAGUUUGUGAUAAUUUGCUACAGCAGCCACAGGAAGCAAAUAAGGAGGGCCUAUUUGGAGGAGGAUGCAAACCCAGCAGUGGGUGAUGAACUAUUCUUACUUACAGCUACCUUAUUCAUUACUAGUCUAGACUUAAGCAUUGACUUCAUCACUGAAAAGGCUGCAGCUGAGCCUAGAGUUUCAGGUUCCUGUGCUGCAUAUGGCUACAGUGAUUCUUAGGUCAGCUCCCUAGGAUGCAGUUGAGUCUCUCUCUAACUGAUGAGUCUCUUUAAAUAUACAGUUGGGGCUGGGUGCGGUGGCUCACACCUCUAAUCCUAGCACUUUUGGAGGUUGAGGAGGGAGGAUCACUGGAACCCAGGAGUUCAAGACCAGCCUUGCCAACAUAGUGAAACCCAUCUCUACUAAAAAAAUACAAAAAUUAGCCGGGCAUGGUGGCGCACACCUGUAAUCCCAGCUACUCGAGAGGCUGAGGUGGGAGAAUCACUUGAACCUGAGAGGCAGAGGCUGCAGUGAGCCAACAUCGUGCCACUACACUCCAGCCUGGGCAACAGAGUGAGACUCUGUCUCAAAACUAUGUAAAUAAAUAAAUAAAUCUACAGCGGGCCCUCCCUGUUCUUGGGUUCUGCAUCCAUGGAUUCAACCAAUUGUGGAUCAAGAAUAGGUUCAUCUGUACUAAACAUGUAUAGACUUUUCUUCUUGUCUGUAUUCCCUAAAUGAAAUAGUAUGACAAGCCAAGCAUGGUGGCUCACACCUGUAAUCACAGCACUUUGGGAGGCUGAGGCAGGAGGAUUGCUUGAGCCCGGGAGUUUGAGACCAGCCUAAGCAACAUAGACCCCAUCUCUACCAAAAAAAUUUUUUUAGCCAGGCAUGGUGGCGUGUGCCUGUAGUCUUGGCUACUCAGGAGGCUGAAGUGGGAGGUUCACUUGAGCCCAGGAGGUCGAGGUUGCAGUGAGCUGUGAUCGCGCCACAGCCCUCCAGCCGGGACGACAGAGUGAGACCCUGUCUCAAACAAACAAACGUAGAUAUAUAGUACGCCAACUUACAUAACAUUUACAUUGUAUUAGGCAUUAUAAGUAAUCUAGACAUGAUUUAAAGGAGGAUAUGUAUAGGUUACAUGCAAAUUCUAUACCAUUUUAUAUAAGGAACUUGAUCACCCAUGGAUUUUGGGUGCAGGGUCUGGAAACCAAUCCCCCACAGAUAUUGUGGAGAGAUCAUACAUUUUCAUCUGAUAUUUUGACUUCUAACCUGAAAUUGUAUAUUUGCUCCAAAGUGAAACUCUUCCUAAGAGUUUUUAUCUUAGACACAUGGAAUCCAAAGAACCUUGAGGAAUUAUCUGGUAUAUCUCACUCCAUUAUUCAUGGAAACCAUUGAGCUCUGACGCUGAAUAUCUCUUGUUAGCUUCUCGUGUGUCUUUAUUGUUUUAUGGACUGAAUGUUUAUGUCCCCCCAAAAUUCAUAUGUUAAAAUCUUAAUCCCCAAUGUGCUGGUACUAGGAGGUGAGGCCUUUGGGAGAUAAUUGGGUUUAGAUGAGGUCGUGAAGACAAGGUCCCCAUGAUGGGAUUAGUGAGUGUUCUUAUAGGAUUUAGGCCACUCAGUCUAUGAUAUUCUGAAAUAGCAGCCUGAACUGAAACAAGACAAUUAUCAUCAAACAUCAUUUGAGUAUAUUAUUCUGUAUAAUACACUAUGAAAGAUCCCCAAAACAAGCAGAUUAGGCAAGUCUAAGGCCUGAUUUCUGUCCUCAAAGAAGGCGAAGGCUACAGUUAGAUUAAGAACUACUGCCUAGCUUUACUGGGAGAGAAUCAUUUUUACAACAUCAGUUGGAGAAGCCACAUAAUGAUCACCAUUAUGACUGCUUAGAUGUAACUUCGGGAUCUAACUAGAAUUUCUAGAUCCCUUAGGCUUAAGUCUUCUAUUUGACCACAAACGUUGAAUGCAUGUGCAUGUUAUGUUUGUCUGUUAAGUUCUCCUUCCUUCUUCUCCUGGCAAUAAUAUCUUCCUUUCUUUUAGAGAACUGCGCCUCCCUCACUCAAAACACAGAGUUCUAGGGGAAAUCGGCCAGUCAGGGGAGGGCGGAUAGCCGAGGCAGGACUACAUGUACCCUCCCCUGGUACCCACAGGUGCUGUGUUUCUACUGCUGGCCCUUCCAUCCACUUCCCUCCCCGACUCUGAGUCCAGGCUUCUGACAUUUAGUUCAUGGCUGCACCAACAGAGACUGACAUUGAUUCUAAAAAUAUUUUUAAUUGAAAUUGUAACCGGUUAUUCAGAAGCUCGAAAAUAAUUACAGUAUCUAGCAUGGACGGAGCACUUGCUGAAUGCAAGCACCAUCCAACCAAGGAGGCCAGGGCGGAGGCGGAGAACACUCAGGUGCAGAGUUGCCCAGGCCUCACACCUCCUGAGUGGCUGCAGUUGAGAAAUGGCCCCAGGGCCUGUGUCACAAAAGCAUGUGGGGCUCCUUGGAGAUUUCUGAGUUCAGCCAGAUAUUUAACCUCACUUACCUCCCUUGCCUAGAGUUUCAAACUCCUGUGCUGCGUGUGGUUACAAUGGGUAUCAGGUCAGCUCCCUAAGGCCCAGAUGAGUAGCUCUCUAACAGAUAAGUCUCUUUAAAUAUAUAGUUGUGCCUCUGUACUCAUGGGUUCUGCAUCCACGACUUCAACCAACUGUGGAUCAAGGACUGGUUCAUCUGUACUAAACAUGUAUAGACCUUUCUUCUUGUCUGUAUUCCCCAAACAGAAAAGGGCAUUGUUAUGCCUUCCUUCCUGUGAGGCUUCAUGUCCUGCUUCUCCUGGGGUAGCCCUCACAGCUGUGUCCCUACACUGCAAAGGGCCCCAUCUCCUCAUUGAUAGAUGGUAGGGACCUCUUUCUUGACCUGCCCAACUGCUGCAUAGAGAGACAGAAUAUACAGACAGCAGCCAGCCCAUAGAUGACAGCAGAAGUGUGACCCACAAUCUGCAGCAGCCAGUCCAGGAAGCCAAACCACAACGUCCACAGCAAUCUGCCCAGAACAGUCAGGACAUCAUCAAUAACCACUGGCUUCCCUACUUUUUCCUGCUGCUUCCAACUUAGGACCAGAGAAAGCCCAACAUGCUCCCCUAACCAGUCGCAUUGGAUGCCUCGCUUCUGGUGAGCCACCUGAGGCUUCCCCAGGCCAGCAGCCUUCACUCAGGGCACACCUGGAGCCUCUCCUCCUCCACUAUGAAGCUUUCCACUCCUCUGCCUGCCUUCAAGUCUCUGCCAAGCACUAGGAAUGGCAGCCGCCUCCUUUUCUACAGCAAGCCCUGAAUAGCCUUUGCUUGUUCUCAUUGGGUGGUCUUUGUUUAUCUCCACAUCGUUUUCGUUUUAACCAGUCCUUAGGUCUUUCUUUUGGCAUCCUGCCCACCCCUGCCUUCAGACAGCCUUCACCACUCUCUCUGAGGCCUGUGCGCCAGCCUCAAAUCUGUGCAACUUUGGCAGGAAUGGCCCUGCUUAGCGAGUCUCGGCCUUUCCCUGCAGUGACUUCUUUGUCUCCUCAUCAGGCCACUCAAUUCUAUGGCAGGGGAGAUCUCCAAUCACUGCCGAGACACCCACAGAACCUGAUUUUAGCCCCGGUGCUGGGGAAGUGGUUGCCAUAGCGAUGGAUGCAGCAGGCAGACAUAGGAAGGGCUCACUGCAGCCAGCCCACGCCAGGAGGGGCCAGGCCUUCUGUUUGGUCUGUGCUGCUCGCUGCCCCCCCAACCCCCAGCCCCCACCUCCAACAGCAAAAUGGGGGCUGGGAGCAGGAAUCAUCCAUGGCCAUCACGCUGGGAUCCUUGUCUUAGCACACCCACCCCUCCCCACCAUGCUGGCUGUUAAUGGUGUCACUUAGUUGUGCAGCUUAGACUGCGUUGCUUAGCAAUGAAAUAACCAACAGCGUAAAUCGUGUCUCCAUUGAAUCUCCGUGAAUGCCUCACUUAGAUGACCGUGAUUUCAGUGCUCUGUGCCAAGGUGGGGGUGGGGCGAUCCGAACCUUUUUAAAUGGAGGAUUUACACAUACAGAAAAAUAUGCACAAAGCGUAAGUGCUCAUCUUAAUAAACUGAAACCAACAUCCAGAUCAAGAUAUAGAACAUUUCCAGGACCCACCAACUUCCCUCCUGCCCUUCCCAGCUAAUAUCCACUCCCCUGUGGACAUGGAUAUGACCUUCAUCACCAUCUGUUUGGUUUGCCUGUAUGUGAGCUUCACAUGAAUAGAAUCCUAUGGUAAGGACCUUUUGUGUCCAGCUUACUUCACUCAUCACUGUGUUGAUGAGAUGCUCCCGUGUUGGGUGUGCAGUCGGAGGAUGGGGGUGGUGCUGCUGAGCAUGCUUUCCUCCACCCCCAGCAACAGGACUGGUCUCCUGGCUUUUCCACCUCACCUUCUGUACUGGUCAGAGUUCUCUUAGAGGGA